GGUGGUGGUCAGUGUAAUAACUGCAGUACUGGUCAGUGUACUGUAGUUUAUAAGACUCACCACACAGUGAGACUGGGACCUGCCGACAGGGCCUGAGAGAUAUCGGGAUCCCUGUGCGAUGGUUCCAUACAAA